UGGCUCUGGCAUCGAUGAAGAACGCAGCGAAAUGCGAUAAGUAAUGUGAAUUGCAGAAUUCAGUGAAUCAUCGAAUCUUUGAACGCACAUUGCGCCCGCCAGUAUUCUGGCGGGCAUGCCUGUUCGAGCGUCAUUUCAACCCUCAAGCCCCCCGUGGCUUGGUGCUGGGGAUCGGCCGUCACUGGCCGGCCCCGAAAUCGAGUGGCGGUCUCGCUGUAGCCUCCUCUGCGUAGUAGCAACACCUCGCACUGGAACGCGGCGCGGCCACGCCGUAAAAACCCCCAACUUCUGAAAGGUUGACCUCGGAUCAGGUAGGAAUACCCGCUGA
rnacentral:misc_RNA from 1 species